AUUGAACGCUGGCGGCAGGCCUAACACAUGCAAGUCGAGCGGAGCGGCGGACGGGUGAGUAUUGCCUAGGAAUCUGCCUGGUAGUGGGGGAUAACGUCCGGAAACGGGCGCUAAUACCGCAUACUCUCAGAUGAGCCUAGGUCGGAUGAGCUAGGUGGUGGGGUAAAGGCCUACCAAGGCGACGAUCCGUAACUGGUCUGAGAGGAGGAUCAGUCACACUGGAAUUGAGACACGGUACAGACUCCUAAGGGAGGAAGAAGUGGGGAAUAGUGGAGAAUGGGCGAAAGAGUGAUCCAGCAAUGCCGCGUGUGUGAAGAAGGGCUUCGGAUUGUAAAGCAUUUUAAGUUGGGAGGCGUUCCCAACAGAAUAAGCACAGGAUAACUUCGUGCCAGCAGCCGCGGUAAUAC
rnacentral:rRNA from 1 species